rnacentral:lncRNA from 1 species
ACUAUCUUUAUUUCCUCUAAUUGGUUAUUUUGAAAAAGGUAUUCAGAUCGGCAAAGCAUUAUUUGAAUAUAUCUGCUCUAACAAUAAUAAAAAUUUAGCAAAAGUACAUACUUUUGUUCUUGACACUAUAUGGCGGAUGACACUUUCAUUCUUAAAUCUUAAUUUGUUAUAAUCUCUUGCUCGAAUUUUUUUAAUUAACAAAAUAAAUUCUACACUAAUUAACUUAAGUAAAAGAUGAGGUGCCAAUUUUAGUCAUUUCCCACAAUACGAUACUACUAGAGACUAGGGAUGUCAUUGGGUAUGGAUACCCGAAAUUUUAUCCGAACCCGAAUCCGAAUGAAAUGGAUAUAUCCGAAGGAUAUGGAUAUGGAUUCGGAUAUGGAUUUCAAAAAUAGAAACCCGACGGAUAUGGAUUCGGAUAUGGAUGUUGAUUGUACCCGACCCGAACCCAAACCCGAACCCGACCCGAACCCAAAUUUAUUUUGUAUUAUAUAUAAUAUAUAUAUAAAAAUUUGAUGUUAUAUUUGAAUUUGUAUUUUAAAAAUUUAGGUUUAAUAUAAUAUAUUUUGAAAUAUUGAAAAAAGAAAUAAUUGUUUCGGAUUCAAAUUUUCGGGUUCGGGU